rnacentral:rRNA from 1 species
UACGGGGGGGGCAAGCGUUGUUCGGAAUUACUGGGCGUAAAGGGCUCGUAGGCGGCCAACUAAGUCGGAUGUGAAAUCCCCAGGCUUAACCUGGGAACUGCAUCCGAUACUGGAUGGCUUGAAUCCGGGAGAGGGAUGCAGAAUUCCAGGUGUAGCGGUGAAAUGCGUAGAUAUCUGGAGGAAUACCGGUGGCGAAGGCGGCAUCCUGGACCGGCAUUGACGCUGAACAGCGAAAGCUAGGGGAGCAGACGGG